AAGUGCCCGACGCGGGGAACGUG
rnacentral:miRNA from 1 species